AUGGAGUCUCGCUGUGUCGCCCAGGCUGGAGUGCAGUGGCGCGAUCUCGGCUCACUGCAAGCUCCGCCUCCCAGGUUCACACCAUUCUCCUGCCUCAGCCUCUCGGGUAGCUGGGACUACAGGCGAGGGGAGUCAAUUUCCAAGGACGAUUUGGGAAUAUCUCCCAGGCUAAGGGGAAAAACGUUCAUAUCUUUGGACCUAGAGAUGCCUGCUGUAUAUAUUGUCAUGCCUCUCACAGAGGGAGCAUAAACUUCUCACUCCAUUGACAUCACUCCUGUCUACAUGAUUUGCUUUGGCCAUGGAAAGUGAGUGGAUAUGAUAUAUGCCAUAACUGAGCAGAAGUUUGAAAGCCUAGAUUGGUUUUGCCAUUUUUUUUUCCUCUGCCACAAGAUAGAAAAAGAAGUUGCCUCUUCAGCCUCAACCCUAGAAUAUAAAUGACAUAGAUUCAACCUGAAGUCAAAUAUCAGCUGACAUAUAUGUAAGCAAGAAAUAUUGUCAUUGUAAGCCUGAAAUAUUGCUGUUGUUUUUUUUAACCAGAGCAAAACCUGGUAUCAGCUAAUGGAAAACCAAUAUUCACUAUCUCUAUACUCAGAAUAAACUCUAGUUAACUUGGCUGUCCUCCUUUCCAAACUGUACAAAUGUUUGAAAUUUCUAAUAUAUUUGAAAGUAUGUAUUUUCUUAUGUUGUUUGCCAACUGUAUUACAUGGUCCUCUCUCAAGAUGUAUGUUAAACAGCUUCAUGCCAUAUCAUAUACAUUUUUAAAAAUUGGAGUAAAACUUACAUGAAAAAUUAACCAAUUUACCCUGUACAAUUCAGUGGUAUUUAGUACAUUAACCAUAUUGUGAAACUACUACCUCUGUCUAGCUCCAAAGAAUUCUCAUCAAUUCUAGUCCCAGUUUCCAUUGGGAAUUCUCAUCAUUCCCAAUGGAAACCUCAUAUCCGUUAGGUAAUAAUGCCCUAUCCCCCUUACCCCCUUUCACCUAGAAACCACUAAUCUGCUUUCUGUCUCUAUGGUUUUAUCUUCUUUAGAUGUCAUAUAAAUACAAUUGUACAAUAUUUGAUUUGUUUGUGGCCUCUUUCAGGUAGCACGUUUUUGAGAUACAUCUACAUUGUAGCAUGCAUCAGAACUUUCUUUUUAUUGCUGAAUAAUACUCCAUUUUAUAGAUACACCUUAUUUUGUUUAUUUGGGUUGUUUUCACCUUUUACCUCCUGUGAAUAGUGCUGCUAUGAACAUUUGUGUACAAAUGUGUGAGAACCUGUUUUCUAUUCUAUUGAUUAUAAACUGGGAAUAUAAUUGCUGAGUCAUGUGGCAAUUCUGUGGCUUUUUGAGAAACCAUGUAACUGUCUUCCACAAUGGUUGUACCACUUUACAUUUCUACCAACAGUGUAUGAAGGUUCCAGUUUCCCCGCAUCCUUGCCAAUACUCACUGUUCACCUUUUAUUUUUUAAUUCUAGGCUUUCCAGUGGGUGUGAUAUAGCAUCUCAUUGUGGUUUUGGUUUGCACUUUUCUAACAAUUAACAAGGUUAAACAUCUUUUUAUGUGCUUGUGUGCCAUUUUUAUGUCUAGGAAAAUAUCUAUUCCAGUUCUUUGCCCAUAUCUAAUUAGUUUAUUAUUAUUUUUAUAGAGACAGGAGGGUCUUGCUAUGCUGCCCAGCCUGGUCUCAAACCCGUGAGCUCAAGGAAUCCACCCACCUGGCCUCCCAAAGUGCUGGGAUUACAGGCAUGAGCCACCACGUCUGGCCUCUUUGCCCAUUUCUUAACAGAACUCUUUUUUGCCCCAACUCUAAUCUGUUUACAAAGUUAGCAGUGGCUUGUUUAUUCGCCUUUCAGUGUUAUUGAGAAAUGCCCUCAGCACAGCCAGUUUUCUACCUUGAGAAAGUUCUGAAAUAGGCAAAACAAAAGAGAGUGUUUUACCUUAGUCCCUCAGGGAGCUCCCUGACAGGUCAAAACAGAAAAACAUAAUUACAUUAGACAAAGUUCUGCUCUGCUCCUGCUGGAGUCUUGAACCCACAAUGAGAAUGUAAGCUUUUGUUUUAAGACCACCACAAAUCCAUGGAGGGUGCUGGAACUUGGCCAAAGAAAAUGUAGCCAAGUUCUGCCACGAUUAAGUCACUUUUCCCUUGAUUCAGCAUUAGCUUGGUUACUGUACACUUUGGGCUAUUUUUCAUAGUUCCAACACAGUUCUUUCUGAGAGUUUGGCUUUUUUUUUCUAAUAUCCCAUGAUACAUAUAUAUACUUUUAAGUAAUUGUCUCCACUGCUGGAGGAUAACAACAUAGGGUUGUUAUCCAAAUAUCCUUAAUGUAUUUAAAACCAUUUCUGAAGAUACAUAAUGUUUGAAAGCCGUUGAUUCCUGCUUGACUGGUGAAAAUGACAAUGAAAUAGUUUAUUUCUUCUUAAUGAGUAAUCCCAGCACUUUGGGAGGCCAAGGCAGGCAGAGCAUGAGGUCAGGAGUUCAAGACCAGCCUAGCCAACAUGGUGAAACUCCGUCUCUACUAAAAAUACAAAAAUUAGCCGGGUGUGGUGGUGGUAGCUGUAAUCCCAACUACUCGGCAUGCUGAGGCAGGAGAAUCACUUGAACCCAGGAGGCAGAGGUUGCAGUGAGCUGAGAUCGCGCCAUUGCACUCCAGCCUGGGCAACAGAGAAAUACUCAGUGUUGGGAAAAAAAAAAAAAGAGGUACCCAUUUAUUUAGAAGGAAGUAGCAGGUACCAAAAAAAAAACAUUAUUUGCUGGUUGGUAAAGUUCAUUAAUUGACUUGCUCUACAUUGUUUUAUGUUUCCAAACCAGAGAGUCCUCCAAUAAACCUGUUUAAGAAAAAUACCAAAAAACUCCAGUAACACACAACAACAAAAAGCAAAACUUAACUCAUACUUGCUUCUUGGAAAGAACCCCCUUUAAGACUAGAUCAAUGCCACAGUCAAACUCAUAUAAGCAAGGAAUAUAAUUGUGGUUGUCAGGGGCUGGGAGGUGGAAAUGGAAAUAGGCCAGGUAAGGUUGUUCACAGGGAGGCAGAGGUGGGAGGACUUCUUGAGCCCAAGAGUUCAAGACCAUCCUGGGCACCAUAAUGAGACCUUGCCUCUACAAAAAACAGCAACAACAACAACAACAACAACAACAAAAUUAAAAUUAGCUAUGCAUGGUGGUGCAUGCUUGUAGUCCCAGCUAUUCAGGAGGCUAAUGUGAAAGGAUCACUUGAGCCCAGGAAGUUGAGGCUAGGGUGAGCCAUGAGCCAUGAUUACACCACUGUGCUCCAGCCUGGGUGACAGAGUGAGACUCUGUCUCAAAAACAAACAAACAAACAAACAAACAAAACCACGAAAUAGAGAUGAAAAGAAAACCAAUGACAUGAUUAGAUUUGCUUAAUUUUUACAAGGAAUGUUUGUGUAAGGUAAAGUAAGAAGGAAUAAACAUAAUAACCAAAGUUUCUUCUGAAAAUGAGUCAUAUUUAUUUGGAGGCACUAAUUACUGGAUUGGACUGGGUUUAUAGGUUUGAAGAUUUCUUAAUAGGAAACAUAUUUUGAAAUACAUAUAUAUAUAUAAAAAGUCACAUGAUCCUUUUCCUUUUAUGGUAUACCCUAUGCUUUUUAAUAAGGCAAAGUUAAAUUAAUGAUUUUUUAUUUUAAAAAUAGGAGACAAUUCUGUUAUAUUGUGUGAUUAGAUAUGACCAUUAAAGUUGACUCUGCAAACUUUGUUCUAUAAUAGUAAAUGGACAUUUUUGGGGGCUUAGUAUAAGGGUAGUGGUUGUCUGGGACAAAUAUUUCACACAUGGGUAGCUUAUAGGCUACAGCUAUUUUUAAUCUGCCUAAACAUCUGUAAUAUACUCAAGUGUAUGCCAUCUGUUUUUUUUGUUGUUGUUGUUCUAUAGUCUCAUAAUAUUUAUUAGAAUAAAUUGUAUUGAAUAAUUGCACAGUUAACCUUGUUAUAUUUUUGGAUGUACUUGCCUUUCUGAAGCCAACAGCCAAUGUAAUGGAUUAAUAGGAGGCAUUAGCCAAGGUUAAAGAGUUAUUACUAUAUGUAGCACACUGGCCAUUUAAAAGCCUGGCAAAGGGCCUCUAGAGGAAACAUGAAUUGUGUGAUGUUAUCUUCCUAGUCUACAUUCCACUAUGGAUAUCAAUCUAGAAAAUCCCAUAAUUUUCUUCAGGUUCAAUUUUUUUUUUUCAGCAAAUCACUACAAUUUCAUCAGUAAAAUUUGUUGAGUUUUUUGGGAGCAAAAGCCUACCAAAAGUGAAAGAAUCAUAUAAUCGUAGAGUUGUAAGGAACCUUAAGAUCCCUUGGCAAAUCACACCAUUUUUGGGGGGAAGAGUGUGAGGAGAAUGGUGAAGAAAUUGAGUCUGGGAGAGGUUCUCUUUAUGAUGAUAGAUUUGUAGUAAAAGUAGUAAUAUUAAAAAUCAAUUUUAAAAGUAGGAAUUUAGAAAAAAAGUCAUGAGUACCUCAAUAAUGUAUUUUCAUGGAAGAAGCCAGUGAUUUUGGAGGUAACACUGUGACUUGAGGGGAUGGAUUUUAAAGAGUUAUUUGAAAGAAAGAGCCACUGAUAGAAGGAGAGGAAAACAGCACCAUGUUAGGAAGGUAAACAAGAAAAACUACAAAU
rnacentral:lncRNA from 1 species